CCAGUUUCAUCACACACAGUAUUAAUCCGGUGGGGAUGCAAGAGUUCCCUUCAACUAAAAUGUUUUUCAUUUUCUUGUUGUUCGGUUCGUUUGGACCAUCGGCAGCUAAUCAUAUAUUACAGUACAAGACUACCAUCGGUCCAGAAGGUUGUUUUACAACUGCUGAGCUGGAUGGAGAGCAGUUUAUACACUUUGACAGAGAGAUAAUCCCAAAGACCAAGUGGAUAAAGAAGAUCUAUGCUGAUAAACCAGAUUACCGGAAGAGUGAAAAAGAAUUGCUGCAGCGUGAACAUGAGGACCUCAAACAUCAUCUGAAUCGACUAAUGGAACUCUCUAAUCAUACUAGAGGAAAUCAUACACUAUACAGAAUGUAUCGCUGUGAGAUUGAUGUUAAUGACACCUGUAGAGGAUCCAUUCAGUUCCAUUAUGAUGGAGAAUUAUUCGCCAGUCUGGAUUUGAAAACUGAAACCUGGAUUGCAGCUAAAUCUCAAGCUGAGAUCUUCAUAAAAGAGAUUGACCCGAGAGGAGAUGAGGCAAAAAACUGGAAGUACUACCUGGAGAAUGAGUGUAUCAGGUGGUUAAAGAUUUAUGUGUUCUCCAGGAGAGAGACUGUGGAAAGGAAAGGUUUGAACGUUCUGUACAACGGCACGGUCGUACUCAGAAUGAACAGGUCUAUCCCAGAGUUUACUGGUGGUGUUCUGGUGGACGGGGUGCUGUUUUUCUGCAACUCCCCGAACAUCCUGAUGGAGAAGAGGAAGAUUGAAACCUGCAAAUGUAGGCAUGUCUGUGUUCAUGGCCAUCAGGAUGACGUUAUGUUCUUAUUGUCUGCAGUACUGAAAGCCUUUAAUCGCACUGAAGGAUCUGUACAGUGGAUGCUUGUUUGUGGUGAUUUCAACAUCACAAGAGCAUACCUGAAGUUCAGCUAUAAUGAGAGUUUCAUCAUUUUUCAUCUGAAUAAUGAAACGUGGACUCAAUGUGAUGAUGAUGGUGAAGCUGCGGUGAUCAUAAAGAUGUUGGAGACCAAGUUUGCUGAGAGUGGGAGGAGCAUCCUGCAGAUAGUGUGUGGAGGAUCAGGACGAGGUCGAAUUGGCAUUUUUGCACCCAUCGCUGUCCUCGUCAUUACUGCCUUCAUUGUCCUUCUCAUUGUUGGAAUCCGCUACAUGAAGAAGUAGUGUGGCAGAAAACAUGAUCCAGUCAAUCCCUCUGCUGAAGAUUCUCCAGUAAUCACAGAUCCUGGACUCCUACAGGUCCUGAAGAGAUGGAAGGUUGCAGCCAAUCACCUUCUCAGCAAAGCGAAUGAUGCGUUGCAGUCUGCCCUCGUCCCUGGCAGUGGCAACAGCAUAGCAGACAGAGAUGGAGGAGACGAGGAUGGACUCGAUGAUCGCGAUUGUUAAAAAGUGCACCCUCAUUGUCCUUGGCAGAGUGAACUUCAACUGCAACAGGAAGAACAUCCUCUGCUGUGCUUUCUUGGUGAGAGAACUGAUGUUCAUCUCCCACUUGAGGUCCUGAGUGAUUAUAGUGCUCAGGAAGCAGAAAGUCUCCACAGAGGUCACUGGGGAGUCGAACAGGGUGAUGGGGGGUAUGGCAUAGCUCCUGCUCAAGUCCACAAUCCUCUCAUCCAAUGUCUUUAGAGCAUUAAGAUCCAAGUUCUGCUUGCACCAGGACACCAGAUGGUCAAUCUCCCACCUGUAGGCAGACUCCUCAUCAGAGAUGAGUCCAGUGAGGGUGAUGUCAUCUGAGAACUUCAGGAGCUUGACUGACUGAUGACUGGAGGUGUAACUAUUGGUGUACAGGGAGAAGAGUAGAGGAGUGAAGACGCAGCCUUGGUAGGCCGUAAGGUGAACCCCGAAAAGUCUUUCAGAAACAAGAUUCCGCUCCGACGUCUCCGAACUACAUAAUAUCCAAUUCUUAAAAAUGGACGUAUUAUGAAAUGAUGUCAUCAAAAAGUUCUCACCUUGUAAUGCUGUCAAUUUUUCGCACGAAGGCUUGAAAAAGCGAACUAAUGUCAUCGGCGCGGAAUGAUAUUUUGGCACCGCGGAAUAAGAUUUUGCUACAGAACAGGUUCCACGGUUGCUGACGUAUCCCAUAAACACCCGCGACGUAGCCCCAUUUCGUAAACAAGAGACCAACAUGGCAGCUGCCACAGCCUCGUCUAGCAGCAGUGGAGGAGAGGAAAGUUUGGAAAUAAUGGCAAAAAGGAGAACUUCUUGGACGUAAGCAGUGCUAUAUGCAUAUAGCUUCUGUGAAGCAUGGAGUGACCCAGGAAUUUACCUUCAAACGGUGGAAUACAUACCGGGACAGUAUGAGUUUGACAAGAUACCCGAGGAUGCUGCCUUCCACCCUGCAUGUUACCGCAGGUUUACGGACAAACUUGCUAUUGAACGAGCGGGAAAGCGUAUGGUGCACGAGAAAGAAGGGGGAGAUGAAACUCAAGAUGCCGCAAGACCCCCUGAAGCUGCCCCCCCCCCGAAGCUGGCCCCUCAACAUCGGGCAGCACUAAGAGUCUUAGAUCCAGGUCAGCACUGCUUAUGUCCAGCUCAGGUCCCGUCCUUCCUGCCCUGUGCAUUAUAUGUAAAAAAAAAAACCUCAAAUUCGUCUUAAAGGGAGGCAAACGACAAAGGGAAGCUCUUUCAAAAGCUGAGACCUUAACAGCAGGCAAGUUGCAGACUGCUGCUGAGACUAAAGAUGACCACAGUAUUCUGGUACACAUUAAGGACAAAGACUGUGUGGCUCUGGAGGUGCAGUACCACAAGAGCUGCUACCAGCAGUACACCAGAUUUCUGAAUGAGCCUGCUAGACAAGAGAAGGACAAGUCAUUGCCUGGAUGCUGACCCCUGCCUUUUUGCACCGUGCCACAGGACUUUUAUAUAUAUAUAUAUAUAUUUUUUUUUUUUUUUUUUUUUGUGUGUGUAUAUAUAAAUU